ACUGAAGAAGGGGAUUAUCAGGUCAAACUACGCAACCUGGUACGUUUCCUUGAAAACGGGGACCGCGGCAAAAUCACGAUCCGCUUCCGAGGCCGUGAGAUGGCACACCAGGAAAUUGGUAUGCAACUCAUGCAGCGCAUCGAAGCAGACAUUGAUGAGCUAGCCCAGGUAGAGAUGCGGCCGAAAAUGGAAGGCCGGCAGAUGACCAUGGUUGUGGCGCCCCGCAAGAAGAAGUAAACCUGAUCGGGUGCUUGUCCCCCGCGCAUGCGGGGGAUUUGUCGUUCAGGGAUACAUUAUUGUUUAUCCAAAAUAGAAUGCGGAGUUUUAAAAAAUGCCCA
rnacentral:sRNA from 1 species